ACAGGAAAUAAGAAGUGGGGAGAUGGAGUGACCACGAACUUCAGCCCAGGGGUGGGUGGCUCAAGUAUGACUCAACAAGUGGCUCAGCCUUCUGACUCUGGCAGUUUCCGCUCGAGGCUGCUACCUGGAGAGCUAAGACUCUGCAGACUGUCAGGUGUCUCUGAAGAAAGCUGUCCAGGAAGUUCACGCUGUGAUAAGACAACGCCCACUGCCUGAAGGCAUCUGCAGACAUCCAAGCCGCUGGUAACCUUCGCUCCUGACUCCUUCCACAGUGUUUAUAUUAUGCAAAUAUCAUUGUAACCUAAAGAUUCGGUGUACCUAUAUAUAUUCUGGACAUUGUGAGUAAAGAUACGAAGCCUUGAUUGGGGCACAACUUG